UUGAGCUUGAUCCUGGCUCAGGACGAACGCUGGCGGCGUGCCUAAUACAUGCAAGUCGAGCGGACCAAUUAAGAGCUUGCUCUUAUGAGGUUAGCGGCGGACGGGUGAGUAACACGUGGGCAACCUGCCCUGUAGACUGGGAUAACUUCGGGAAACCGGAGCUAAUACCAGAUAAUCAAUGACACCACAUGGUGUCAUUGUAAAAGUUGGGUUUACCUAACACUACGGGAUGGGCCCGCGGCGCAUUAGCUAGUUGGUGAGGUAACGGCUCACCAAGGCAACGAUGCGUAGCCGACCUGAGAGGGUGAUCGGCCACACUGGGACUGAGACACGGCCCAGACUCCUACGGGAGGCAGCAGUAGGGAAUCUUCCGCAAUGGACGAAAGUCUGACGGAGCAACGCCGCGUGAGUGAUGAAGGCCUUCGGGUCGUAAAGCUCUGUUGUUAGGGAAGAACAAGUACCGUUCAAAUAGGGCGGUACCUUGACGGUACCUAACCGAAGACGA
rnacentral:rRNA from 1 species